UACGUAGGUGGCAAGCGUUGUCCGGAUUUAUUGGGUUUAAAGGGUGCGUAGGCGGCCCUGUAAGUCAGUGGUGAAAUACUAUAGCUUAACUAUAGAGGUGCCAAUGAUACUGCAGGGCUUGAGUACAGAUGAGGUAGGCGGAAUUGACGGUGUAGCGGUGAAAUGCAUAGAUAUCGAUCAAGAACACCGAUAGCGAAGGCAGCUUACUGGGCUGUAAACUGACGCUGAUGACACGAAAGUGUGGGGAUCAAACAGG
rnacentral:rRNA from 1 species